rnacentral:rRNA from 1 species
AGUGAACGCUGGCGGUAGGCCUAACACAUGCAAGUCGAACGGCAGCACAGUAAGAGCUUGCUCUUACGGGUGGCGAGUGGCGGACGGGUGAGGAAUACAUCGGACUCUACUUUUUCGUGGGGGAUAACGUAGGGAAACUUACUCUAAUACCGCAUACGACCUACGGGUGAAAGCAGUGGAUCUUCGCACCUUGCGCGAUUGAAUGAGCCGAUGUCGGAUUAGCUAGUUGGCGGGGUAAAGGCCCACCAAGGCGACGAUCCGUAGCUGGUCUGAGAGGAUGAUCAGCCACACUGGAACUGAGACACGGUCCAGACGCCUACGGGAGGCAGCAGUGGGGAAUAUUGGACAAAGGGCGCAAGCCUGAUACAGCCAUACCGCGUGGGUGAAGAAGGCCUUCGGGUUGUAAAGCCCUUUUGUUGGGAAAGAAAAGCAGCAGGUUAAUACCCCGCUGUUCUGACGGUACCCAAAGAAUAAGCACCGGCUAACUUCGUG